UUUCCGUAGGUGAACCUGCGGAAGGAUCAUUAUUGUAUAACCGAGGUACGAGGCCUGUCGCUGAUCCGUAAGGUCGCGCACGCCCGGGUGCACUCACACACUUCCAUCUGACCCCUAUGUGCACCACCGCGUGGGUCCCCCUUUGGCUUGUUCGGAGGGGGGCUUACGUUUUCACACAAACUUUGUAUGCAGUGUAGAAUGUAUUUUUUGUUUUUGCGAUCACGCAAUCAAUACAACUUUCAACAACGGAUCUCUUGGCUCUC
rnacentral:misc_RNA from 1 species